GUUCUCAUCGCACUUGCUGCAUUUAUGACUUCAUCCCCGAGGGAGGAUUCGUGAGCCAAGAGAUGCAUGAUUUUUCCACUCUAUAUAUACACCUGCUGUGAACUGCAGUCUGGUCCCACCAAGAUAAAAGACUGGCUCUGGAGGACAUGCUACGCAGGACAGAUGACAAUGAUGACAAUGGCCAGAGCCAAAGGGAAGCCUGCCAUCGGAUUGCGUAAGGAUGGUGCUGGGUGCCCUGAACGCUGGUGCCCUGGCCCUGCUCUGAUGCUCAGGGGGUACCUUACUCACUAGCUGUUCAGAGAAUGACCUUGCAGAAUGCUUCUACCACUGUUGGCCUUUCAUUCAGAGACCUCAUUGAUCUCUAAUCCUUCCCCCAUGCUCAAGGACAAGGUCUACAUUUCCAGCUAAGGUUGCAAGAUAACUAGUGAUGUCCAGCUGAGUACCAAGUGGCUUUAAUUUCAUCACCUCAAUCCAUGUUGAGAUGCAGUUACCUUCUCAUCAGGCCUCAAACUAAGGCGGGCUUCACAUGUGCCAAAGCCCCAAAUGCAGAAGGAUGCAAUUCGCAUCGUGAAAUUCUUAAUGAUUGUACCUUUGAGUUGUGUGUUGUAUGUGAAAUAGGAGAACAAUGGAGCAUGUGCCGGGGGUGGGGAGCCUUGGAUUGUGUGUGGUUCCACUUCUGUCUCUGUUCUGUGGUCAGAGUGUGGGCGUCCCACUCAGUGACCACUGUUUCCUUCCCCUGCUGCAGGGCGCGGGGUGUGGGUUCCAGAGGGUGCAGGGGAUGGGGCGGGGGGGCAUUUGGUGCCUGUGACCAGCUGCACUUGCCCCCAUGAACAUCCUGAGGGAGUUAUGGUGUAUU